UCAUCUCAGAUGCAGUUUUUUGCUUAAGAAAAUAAUCAAAACAAUAGUUUUCUUGGACAUUGCUCCCUCUCCUCUUUUUCGACUUGCAGUUGUGCUAGAAAAACAUUUUUUUCACUCAAUUAAGAUUCUUAUUCACAUUAUCACUCACUCACUUAUACUGAAUCAGGAGAUUGCAAUUUGCUUCUUGUACUUCUUCAUUCUCAUUAUCAUUUGAAGAACAUGGAUCAUUAUCCCAUCAUAGUAUAUUGGGGUGGGGAUCUUAGUUAUAAGGGAUCCGAUGUGGUGUAUAAUCGAGGAUUGAAUUCAGUAAUGUUUAUUCAUCAUCAACAUACGACUUUUGAGGGGUUUCUCUGACACCAUCAAUAGUUUAUCCAUCGCGUCUCUUCAAGGGUUUACAGGAAGACUCUCUGGCGGAUCAAGACGACUGACGAAAGGGGGAGAAAGGUCAGAUCACUAGCCGAGAUUGGCUAAGCUACUCCAGGAGCAACAAUUCAUGGUCAUUAUGGAGAAAUCGUUUAAAGGAGCUCCUAUGUCAAUAACUUCCAUUUCUCACGUUAGGCAAUGGACCGCUAGUUCCCUUUAGUCUCUUUCUAAGAAGGUAGAUAUUUUAUUUCACUCUAUUUGAUUUGGAUAAUAAGAAUAAAAGAUUAGACUUGCCUCCCUUCUUUCUCAAAGUCAAGGUUCUCACUUCUUGCUUUAGAAAGAUUACAGGGGAUCGUCGAUCUCUUCCUUCAGGCUGCUCUACCCUAUCUAUUCAUCUCUUUUUUCAAUUGAAUAUAUUUGGGGGUCUCCUGUUCAUAGAGAUAGAUCUUGGCCGAUCAGUCACCCAACUUACUUAAACAAGUGUCAGGGAAAAGUGUAUGAUGUUAUUGGUUGUGAUCGAAACUCUUAACUAUUAAAAAUGGAGAUGAAAUAUCCUAUUACUCGGAUAAAUGCGUUAAAUUGGGUUAGGAAUGAUGAAAGUAUAAAUGCUCUUGCUUAUGCGGCGUCACAAGCCCUUGGAACGGCAAUGAAAGUUUAAGUUGAAAUGGUUGCAAAUGUGGGUAAUGCAAAGGAAGUCAUGACUAGCAUGGAACUUCUAGAGUCAUGAUACAUUUAAAGACAUGUUUUGAGGUACAUCUUUUGAGGUCAUGACUAGCUGGCUUUGGGUACAUCUUUCGAGGUCCCAUUCCCCUGCAUACUCUAGCUUACUACCGAGACUCCCUUGAUUGAUAGAGGGAUGACUAGGUGAUUACGAUUUAUUAAUUUUUUUGACUCUGAAUGUAUUGUUCAAAUUACUGAGUUUAUUGAAUUCUAUUUCAAAUGACAUGAUUGCCUUACACAAUGGCUAAUAUUGAGGCUUUGCUAGACAUAUGUAAAGUGGGCCAAGGUAUAUAGAGUUCAUGUUGUCCAUUCAUUUGCUUUGACAACGUCGUGUUUCAGCUGUCGGAUCGUGUAAUGAGUCAAUUCGGUUUGGAGAAGCCUAUUCAAGAUGCUUGUGACACCCAAGCUGCACUACACGGGAAUGAUUGGAGGACUGGGGACAAGAAUUAAUUGAUAUGACAUAGAUCGCAUGUAGAUGGGUAGAAUGACCAAGAAAGUCUACUGGUUCGGGGAGAUAACUACAUUGGUUAAAACAUGGGUGCGGACAUGUCGUGGUAUAGGAAAAUCAUAAUAUUACACAUCACGAACCUCCACAUUUGCACAGCCAGCAUCGCACUACCAUCCUACAACUACGUUAUUGUGACACGAUACAAGGGGCCGUUGCAUUGCCCUUUGAUGUGGGGCAUCUGUUAUGUACUCAGACCCUAAGCUCCAGCAACACAUAUUUGACAGAGGUAUUGAGUCAGACGGGGUAUGAUUAGCUCAUUCCGACUCCUCUGCCGCCACGAAUAAGGACACGUUACACACUCCUUCUUUAGGUUCGCACCACCGAGUUAGCUCUUCAUGAAGUUCAAGUAAAGGGUCAUCAAAAGAUUUUGACCGUUCAUCUACCUAAGGUCGGUCUUCUGGAUCUCCAUUAGCAUCAUCGGGUACCAUGUCGCCAAUUGUUCCUCCAACUUCCUUGUCCAUUCCUCUACAUCUAUCGCCUCCCCAUACAAUGCUAACAUAUCAGCGAGCUUGCUAAAUACGUACUCCUGCUCUUGAUGUCAUUACAGAGGUUGAUGAGUCUACACCGACCUCAUCCACCGGUGCGCGCUUAAAACGUGGUCGGGGAGUGUAAUUUAGUGACUUAGGAUGACUAUUGCAUAUAUAUCGAACUUCUUGUAUCAUUUUUGGAUGGUUGUUAUAUAUAUGUGCGAUAGUUUCAUAAUUAACGUUUACAUAUUUUGUCUUUUUGCAUUUGGAACAAUUGUGGUUGAGGUGUUUAACGAUUUGAGCUGGUUGUUGAUUGAU